rnacentral:rRNA from 1 species
CCUACGGGAGGCAGCAGUAGGGAAUCUUUCACAAUGGGCGAAAGCCUGAUGGAGCAACGCCGCGUGCAGGAUGAAGGCCUUCGGGUUGUAAACUGCUUUUAUAAGCGAGAAAUAUGAUGGUAACUUAUGAAUAAGGAUCGGCUAACUACGUGCCAGCAGCCGCGGUCAUACGUAGGAUCCGAGCAUUAUCCGGAGUGACUGGGUGUAAAGAGUUGCGUAGGUGGCAUAAUAAGUAGCUAGGGAAAUCUGGUGGCUCAACCAUUCAGACUAUUAGCUAAACUGUUAAGCUCGAGACCGUUAGGGGUAAAUGGAAUUUCUAGUGUAGGAGUGAAAUCCGUAGAUAUUAGAAGGAACACCAAUAGCGUAGGCAGGUUGCUGGGACGGUUCUGACACUAAGGCACGAAAGCGUAGGGAGCAAACGGGAUUAGAUACCCGAGUAGUC